GAAGAAUGUAUAACACAUCAUAGAGUGUAAAAAAUCAUAGAGUGGAUUAGUGCACCUACCGGAAAGUUAUGCCUAACGAUAGAAUGAGAUAUAAUUGGAUAAACCUCAAGACCCAAAUGAGAACAGCCAGCAGAUGUCCCUGCUUGAUAUGAGAUCACCUCAACCCUUUUUUGGAAAAGAUGAGUGCACAUUCUCCAAAACAAUCUGACUGCAACUUUUACCUUGAACCAGUUUCAAUGAGCUGACCUUCAUUGUUUCCCUUGUUCCCUGCCUUUUUUCACCCUGGCAGCACAGACUGAAAAUUCUCCUCCAUAUGGUUUUCUUCAGGUGUGACGUCAUGUCCAGUCAGGUGACCCAGAAGGAAGAUAAAAAGGAGGUCACCUGAUCUCUAAACCUCAUUUCCAGCAGACAUCAGGAGAUGAGCUCCACCUUAGCCUGUUCAAGCAUUCUUCUUCUUCUUCUUCUUUUGGCUGCUCCCAUUAGGGGUCGCCACAGCGGAUAAUCUUCUUCCAUAUCUUUUUGUCUUCUGCAUCUUGUUCUUUAGCCUUUCAAGCAUUACUGGAAGAAAAGUGAGCUCAUCUUUGGAAACCGGGACCAACAGAGCCUCUGUAAAGCCUUUCUGUGGCGACUUUAUUAAAAAUUUAAUUUUAAACUGCCGGAGAGCCUGUCAUUGUACUUUGAAACUUCGAUUUAAAAA